GCCCUGCAUGAAGUCGGAAUUGCUAGUAAUCGCGGAUCAGCAUGCCGCGGUGAAUACGUUCCCGGGCCUUGUACACACCGCCCGUCACACCAUGGGAGCCGGUAAUACCCGAAGUCAGUAGUCCAACCACGUGAGGACGCUGCCGAAGGUAGGAUUGGCGACUGGGGUGAAGUCGUAACAAGGUAGC
rnacentral:rRNA from 1 species